rnacentral:rRNA from 1 species
UACGGAGGGUGCAAGCGUUAUCCGGAUUCACUGGGUUUAAAGGGUGCGUAGGCGGGCAGGUAAGUCCGUGGUGAAAUCUCUGAGCUUAACCCGGAAACUGCCAUUGAUACUAUCUGUCUUGAAUAUCCUGGAGGUAAGCGGAAUAUGUCAUGUAGCGGUGAAAUGCUUAGAUAUGACAUAGAACACCAAUUGCGAAGGCAGCUUACUACGGGAUUAUUGACACUGAGGCACGAAAGCGUGGGGAUCAAACAGG